GAAAAUUCUGUGAAGAGGAAAGUAGUUUAAUUAAUUCCUUAAGCGAAUAGGGGAACGGUGUAAGCCCUAUGGAUAGAUUAAUAUGAAGAGAGCCUUGGAGAAGUCACCUGAAAUAGAUAGAGAAAAGAUAAAUUAUAGAUAUUAUCUUUUUAUAUUUUGAGUAAGGAGGAUCGCAAGAAAUUUGCGUUAAAAGUUAAGGGGUAUCUUAUUUAUAUAAGAUACAAUUAGAGUGGUACCGCGGAUAGUUCGUCUCUUAU
rnacentral:ncRNA from 1 species